UACAGAGGGGGCAAGCGUUGUUCGGAAUCACUGGGCGUAAAGGGUGCGUAGGCGGGUGUUUAAGUCAGGGGGGAAAUCCUGGAGCUCAACUCCAGAACUGCCUUUGAUACUGAAGAUCUUGAGUUCGGGAGAGGUGAGUGGAACUGCGAGUGUAGAGGUGAAAUUCGUAGAUAUUCGCAAGAACACCAGUGGCGAAGGCGGCUCACUGGCCCGAUACUGACGCUGAGGCACGAAAGCGUGGGGAGCAAACAGG
rnacentral:rRNA from 1 species